UGUGUGCUGAAAUCUUCUCUCUUUCCUAGGAACCUUGCUGCUAUUCAGGACAGAGAAAUCUGCUGCUACUCAAUUUCUUGCAAAGAGAAAGAUAAUAUAGAUAUCACGCUUCAGUGGCUUAUUCAGCAUUCAAAAUCUAGAAGAAGCUGAAGUCUUCCUGGAAUCUCCAGUACCAGUUGGCCAUAAUCUCAAUUGUCCACUUCCCUCCAUAAUGAGAUACUACCCAAAAAUCCUGUAUCAAGAAUCUGCCUUUCACGGUUCAUUUCUCAUGUGCACUGCUGAAGACUUGUAUUCCUAUUCUGUCACGAAACAACUAGAGUUGUCAUGAUAAAGUCAGCACAAAUAUUUAUUUUACAACCAUCUGUGGUGGGAGGGCUGUGGGGGGGCUUUUUAAAAGAAUAUCUCUACCAUGUUAACUACGAUGGUACACUCUGUUCUGGUUUUUCAGGGCCAGGUUUUUAUAUGAUUUUCAGCAAGUGUUUUAUUUCUAGUGUUUAGUGGCUUGAAGAUGCUGAUGCUUGACAGCAUUAAGAUUCUGUAAGAUGCCACAUACAGUAGUUAGAAAACAUUUAAGCGUGAGUUGUGGGAUACUGAUUGGUCUCACAAAUGCAUGUGAUGUGUGUACGUAAGCAGAGAAAUGGAAACUGUUUGCAGAGGGGAGCACAAGGCAUAGAUCAGCAUCACUAAUCUACAGCUGAGAUCCUGUCACUUGAAAAAGAAAACUCUCUUGGUGAAUUAGGAAAGUCAUCUGUUUCAAAUCAUUCUGUUGCUUCUGUUUAACAUUUAUGUGGGGGAUGGGAAUGGACUGUUCUGUCAAACUUUAAAAAAUUGGAGUAUUCCAGCAUGAAAACAAAUCGCUAGGAACAUCAGGCUUCGUUCAAAUACAUUUUUCUAUCUCCAGAUACUCGUGGUCUCUCUCUGAAACCAGAACACGCAUUCUGAGCAGCUGCAUGACACCCAAUUUACUGAUGCUCUUGUAUCGAGGCAGUUGUUGACCUUUAGCACAAUCUGUGUGUAACUGUCAGUGUCUCUCCUGCUCCUGCAAUGGCUGGGCACAGUUUCACCUGGUGCUACGGAAUACCUGGGCUAUUGUGACAACUCUAGACCCGCCUGCUUUCUCCAUGUAACCAUGUGCAAAGCCUGUCAGAUGCAAUGAAAUGUUUUGCUGUGUCAAAGCACAAGAGAGCCAAUGAAUUGAUCCUGUCUCUUGACUAGCUCCUGCAGCUUAGGGAAGCGUGUAUAAACUCAAGAUUAUAAUGUUUCCGUAGCUCUACUUUCUCAGUGACUUCAGCAUAUUUAAAGGGACGGCUUUGUUAAGACUGGUUUGUUCAUCCAGCAGUGUCAGUGUAGCUACUCGUGUGUGCAGAUCCAUGGUGCAGCUGCUUGUGUUGCCUCACACUGUGUGUGAUUCCUCACCUCCAUGUGGUUUGCAUCCCGUGGGAGCCUCGGGCUGGGAGCAGCGUUCAGUGCCCUCGGUUCUGACAAGCCAGUGUUAAUGCAGACUGCCAUGGCCUUACUGUCCUGUCUCAGCUCUGGCACUGCUGCACAGACACUACACGCUGCCUGCCUUCAGUCUGAAGUUACAUUUUAACUUUUUGUCCCCUUUCAGUUCUCUGAAGCAUGAUUGCAAGUAAUCCAUACUCUGGUGCUGUAGAGGAGAGGGUGUAUUAACUUGCUACUGUAGUCCCGAGUUCACCAGAACUGCUACAGUUACUUUUAUUUAGCAAAUUUGCUUGUGCCUAUAAUAAGGAAACUAAACUAGAAUGUGUGAAUCUUUGUGGGGGACCAGGUCACUGUUUAGUUAACUGGCCUAUAGCUAAACUUGAUGUGUUUGGUGUUUAUCUACUUCACUGCUUUCAGCGUUUAUGGCAUCCAAACACUACCAAUUGUUAACCUGUGCAUUACUCUCUGCAUGUGAACAACUUAUACAAUUACUGAACUUUGUAAAUACGUGAAUUUUUUUAUUUAGGUGGAUGCAUAUGUUGGUUUACUGCUCUUCAGCUUUAUUCAAUAAACUUAUGUUUUGAGGGUUGUAUUGACACUUAA